CAGAAGCCACAGAAAUCCUCCUCAUCAAAAACAUGACUUUGAUCUCCGUCCUCAUCUGGACUAUCCUCUGCUGCUGCUUCACAGAGUCCAGAGGCCAGUUCACAGCGACUCAGCCUGCAGCAGUGAGAUCUGAUCUGAGAGGAUCUGCAACCAUCAGCUGUAAGACCAGUCAGACUGUCCACCAGUCUGACUCUGUGGAGUGGUAUCAACAUAAACAUGGAGUAGCUCCUAAACUGCUCAUUUACUGGUCUAACCGUAGAGCAUCAGGCAUUCCAGAUCGUUUUACAGGCAGCGGAUCAAACAUGGCCUUCACUCUGACCAUCAGUGGAGUUCAGGCUGAAGAUGCAGCAGUUUAUUUCUGUAUAGGCCGAAUCUAUCCCAACAGUCAGCAUGUGUUCACACAGUGA